UACGUAGGGGGCUAGCGUUGUCCGGAAUCAUUGGGCGUAAAGAGCGUGUAGGCGGCCCGGUAAGUCCGCUGUGAAAGUCGGGGGCUCAACCCUCGAAUGCCGGUGGAUACUGUCGGGGCUAGAGUGCGGAAGAGGCGAGUGGAAUUCCUGGUGUAGCGGUGAAAUGCGCAGAUAUCAGGAGGAACACCGAUUGCGAAGGCAGCUCGCUGGGACGUAACUGACGCUGGAGACGCGAAAGCGUGGGGAGCAAACAGG
rnacentral:rRNA from 1 species